GAUUCCUCCCGGCCACAUAAAGCACUGUUGCGUGCGAGUCCAUUUACUAAUUUAUGGAUAAGUUCAUAUUGAAGUAAAUUACUAUUGAAAAGCAUUAUACUAGCAUAAGCAAACCAUGUCAAACUUUUGCGCAGCUCCAAAUUGCACCAUAAAAAGUAAUCGGUCAGCAUCGCUAUUCUUCAGGUUUCCAAGGGACACUGAAAGAUACAAGCAGUGGAUGGAAAACUGUCAUUGCAAGGAUCUUUAAGAUAAAACACCUGACCAGCUGAACAGACAAUACAGACUUUGUGCUAAGCAUUUUGAACCAUCCGUGAUUUGUAAAUCAAGUUCCUACAGGACAAGGCUGAAGGAUAAUGCCACACCAACCAUCUUUGAUUUAUCAAGCCAGCUCAAUAAGCCACAAAGUAGGCAACGCAAGAGGAUUAAAGAGCUGAGUGAAGAUGAAGAAAGGCAAAUGAAAGGUACAUUGUGCAUCUUAGGUUGAGGCUGUUUCAAUGUACAGUGCGUUCAGAAAGUAUUCAGAUCCCUUGACUUUUCCACAUUUUGUUGCAUUAGCCAUAUUCUAAAAUGAUUAAAUAAUUGUUUCCCUCAAUCUACACAAUAACCUGUUUUUGCUUUCAUUAUGGGGUUUUAGAAAUGUUUGCAAAUGUAUUAAAAAUAAAACUGA